UACGUAGGGGGCGAGCGUUGUCCGGAAUCAUUGGGCGUAAAGCGCGUGUAGGCGGUUAGGUAGGUCCGUUGUGAAAACUCGAGGCUCAACCUCGAGACGUCGGCGGAAACCAUCUGGCUAGAGUCCGGAAGAGGAGAGUGGAAUUCCUGGUGUAGCGGUGAAAUGCGCAGAUAUCAGGAAGAACACCCGUGGCGAAGGCGGCUCUCUGGGACGGUACUGACGCUGAGACGCGAAAGCGUGGGGAGCGAACAGG
rnacentral:rRNA from 1 species